UGAAUCCUUGUCUUGGGGUGCUUGGGACACUCAAUGAACGUAUAGUGAGAGUUUCCCUGCUAACACCAAAACAACACUUACGCAUCUCCCAGCCAUUUACGGCUUGGGUACUGGUGCAAUUUUUGGAACA